ensembl:lncRNA
GUUAAAAAUCUGAAAAUUAGAAUAUGUGCUCUCAGCAAGAGUAUCUUCUAAAUAAUCAUUCAGCAUGAAACUUGAGCCCCAUAAGCUGAAAAUUACACUCAAGACUUUCCUGAGAAAUGCUCCCCAGUGACAUAUUUAUUUAACCCCCCUUCGAUGAGUCAUUGAUUCCAGGUAAAUCAGAGGAACAGACAUCAUGAACAGAAAUAAUACAGGAAGUGAUGUGAUGCCGAAGUUUAACUGUUGUUCCAGAAGUCCAGCAUCUGUGGCUCAUAACUUUAGGAACUGUAUCAUUUGCAAGGUCACCUAACUUUUACUCAUAUUGGGUUGGCCAGAAAGUUCACUCAGUUUUCCUGUAAGCUGAGAGAACCCGCACGGACUUUUUGGCCAACCCAAUACAGUAAGUUUUGUUUGUUUGUUUUUGUUUUUUUUUAAAUAAAUAUUGAC